rnacentral:siRNA from 1 species
GCUUUGUCAUAACCGAAUUGCUA